GGCGGGUCUCCUCGCAUUGCAGCGUGGGAAUCUGGUCAGGUCCGGAAGGAAGCAGCCAUAACCGCUUCCUGCAAGUGCCGGGGGUCAGGCUCGCCACC
rnacentral:SRP_RNA from 1 species